AAGUGUUUGACAAAUAUCCUGUAAGGGAACAUUAAUCUAUGUCAUAUGUUAAUUUGCUUUGAGAAAAAACAUCAAACACGGUUACAAGUUAGGAAAUAGUUGCAAAUUGCAUCGGUACAUCUGCAGUUUUUGAGAACAACAGGGAGAUAUGCUCCGUCUACAAUAUGCUCCUUCUCUACUUGCAUCAGGUGGUAAGAUGAACCAUGCUGCAACUUGUGGGUAUUCUUUACUCAAGUAAAAUUAUUUGCACCUAUAUCCUCAUAUAUUUCAUUAUUUUUAUGCACUAGAUUUACCAUGCCUUUUAAUGUAGGUCUGCAGGCACUAACAUCACUCGGGUGUAUUCCAGGUCUCACCACAUGCUAAAACUAUUAUCUCAAGCAGUAAUUUUUGAAAGAACAAAAUUACUGGGGCCAGAAAGUAUCAAG